rnacentral:rRNA from 1 species
GACGUAGGGCGCGAGCGUUGUCCGGAUUUAUUGGGCGUAAAGAGCUCGUAGGCGGCUUGUCGCGUCGAAUGUGAAAACUCGGGCUCAACUCCGAGCUUGCAUUCGAUACGGGCAGGCUAGAGUUCGGUAGGGGAGACUGGAAUUCCUGGUGUAGCGGUGAAAUGCGCAGAUAUCAGGAGGAACACCGGUGGCGAAGGCGGCAUCCUGGACCAAUACUGACGCUGAGGAGCGAAAGCCAGGGGAGCAAACGGG